GAUACCUUCGUUGCUUUUCAAUUAUAUAUGUUCUCAUUAAUUCUUAUAUUCUUUUUUUUUUUUUUUAUGUAUUCAUUUACUUUUUUUUUUCAAUGAUGGCAUUGAGCUAUGCUUAUUAAGGGGUAUUUCUCAACAUAACUGAUUGGCUGUCAACCUAUAACAAGCAUAUCGUAGUAUUUAAAGAGAUCAUUUCAACUGGAGCCUUUUGAGGGUGUGGGGACUGGUAGUUAUGAGGGGGGGAUAAAGAGAGUGGGAGGGAGAGAGGGAAAGAGAGAAAGACAAAGACAGGGUGGUACGCGGCCUAACGGAUCCCUCCAUUUCAUUUCAAACCGGCGAGCGGGCAGGUGUGGAGUGUUGCCGCAGGUGUGGACUGCUGGCGAUCUGCGUGACAAAGGAAGGUUUGGAUUGAGUUGUCUUGAAGCUGAGAUGAGUUGGUCGGCUAAUGAGUGGCUUGCAUCAAGUGACCGUGAGGUGUUGGACGUGGUAUCGUGUUAUUGCAAGUGUAACCAGUAAUAAUGAUCCUGUGAUGCUUCUGAAGAGACAGAGGGACAUGAUGGCAAGUCUUGGUGGGAGUCCUGGCAUUGAAUGGCCUGAGGAAAGUCUUGCCAAGCUUUGCUGCCUCCUCUACACUGGCCAGCCCUACCCACAGGUCACUUAGUGUUUGCAUGUAGUACUUCCUAUUUUGUAUAGAAAACUAACCUAUAAACCACAAUUGAUUUACUGACUACCUAACCAUAUUAUGUUCAACUCAUCUAAAAAUAGCAUCAUUAAACACUUAAAAAAAAAAGUGACUUAAUUAUACGCUUCUAAAUAAAUUAUCCACCUUAGCACAUCUCCUAAAGACAGCAUAAUCAUACACACUUCUAGAAAUUAAACUGAAUGGGUAAAUUUCCUAUACUUUUUUUUUUUAACUUCACUCCUACUGUGAGGAAAGGAACCUACUUUGUUGGUCAUUUAUACUGCACUGUUGUUGAAGUAUGUGAGUGCUCUUGUUAAUACUACACUGCUGUGACUACUGUUAUCACAACCACCACUACACCCUGCUACAGACAUUUUCUCCUUCAGUCCCUCAAUCUGAAGUGGUGCGUGGCCUCAUCCACUCCUUACACUGUGUUGAUAAGGUUAUUGCUACUGUUGCUGCUACUACUACAACUAUUACCACUACACCCUGCUACAGAUAACAACACACCACUCACUGGAAUGGAAGGUUCAAACACACAGGGAGACAGACUGUGGCUUGUAUCAUGUUAGCACAGCCCACAUCUACAGUAGUGAUCCUUCCAGACCUGUCCUGUGUGUGCCUCAAUGAGAAGUGUUCCUUCCCUUGGUGCUCUUAACCUUGUGAGGUUUAGGAAAAAGUGCACAGUAAGAAUGAGACACUUUAUGAAAAUGUGGAGUACAGCAGACGAUUCAUACAUUUUGGUCAGUGCAGCAAUACAAGUGGGAAUGUAUAGCAGCAGCACAGUGCAGCAGAUGAGCAGCACACACUCUCAUGCUGCCCUCAGCAGUGAGUG